AUUGAGCGCUGGCGGCAGGCCUAACACAUGCAAGUCGAACGGUAACAGAAAGCAGCUUGCUGCUUUGCUGACGAGUGGCGGACGGGUGAGUAAUGUCUGGGAAACUGCCUGAUGGAGGGGGAUAACUACUGGAAACGGUAGCUAAUACCGCAUAACGUCGCAAGCCCAAAGAGGGGGACCUUCGGGCCUCUUGCCAUCGGAUGUGCCCAGAUGGGAUUAGCUAGUAGGUGGGGUAACGGCUCACCUAGGCGACGAUCCCUAGCUGGUCUGAGAGGAUGACCAGCCACACUGGAACUGAGACACGGUCCAGACUCCUACGGGAGGCAGCAGUGGGGAAUAUUGCACAAUGGGCGCAAGCCUGAUGCAGCCAUGCCGCGUGUAUGAAGAAGGCCUUCGGGUUGUAAAGUACUUUCAGCGGGGAGGAAGGGAGUAAAGUUAAUACCUUUGCUCAUUGACGUUACCCGCAGAAGAAGCACCGGCUAACUCCGUG
rnacentral:rRNA from 1 species